rnacentral:lncRNA from 1 species
CAGGCUCACUGCUGAAAAUCCUUUGCAUUAGGAUGACCAGAAAGAGUUCUCCUUGCCAGCCAAACAGGACUCCAGGGAAGAGGGGUCUUACCCUCUACUGCAACUAUCGAGGCUUAAUGCACCCGUGGAAGUGAAAGGCCUGAGAAAGAAGUCAGAAUCUAACCCCAAAGACAGGAAUCCAUUAUUUAAGAAAGGCUGGGCUGAAGACUCGGUGGAACAAAAUAAAAAGGUUCUAGAAGAAAAAUUGAGAAGAG